GAGGGUACAGCUCAGUGGUAGAGCACAUGCCUAGCAUGCACGAGAUCCCGGGUUCAAUUCCUGGUACCUCCA
rnacentral:tRNA from 1 species